rnacentral:rRNA from 1 species
UACGGAGGGUGCAAGCGUUAUCCGGAUUCACUGGGUUUAAAGGGUGCGUAGGCGGCCCUCUAAGUCGAACGUGAAAUCCCCGGGCUCAACCCGGGAACUGCGUCCGAUACUGGAAGGCUUGAAUCCGGGAGAGGGAUGCGGAAUUCCAGGUGUAGCGGUGAAAUGCGUAGAUAUCUGGAGGAACACCGGUGGCGAAGGCGGCAUCCUGGACCGACAUUGACGCUGAGGAGCGAAAGCCAGGGGAGCAAACGGG